rnacentral:rRNA from 1 species
AUUGAACGCUGGCGGCAGGCCUAACACAUGCAAGUCGAGGGACCGGCGCACGGGUGAGUAACACGUAUCCAACCUGCCCUUUACUCGGGGAUAGCCUUUCGAAAGAAAGAUUAAUACCCGAUGUAAAGGAUGCGGAUGCGUUCCAUUAGGUUGUUGGUGAGGUAACGGCUCACCCAGCCUUCGCUGGAUAGGGGUUCUGAGAGGAAGGUCCCCCACAUUGGAACUGAGACACGGUCCAAACUCCUACGGGAGGCAGCAGUGAGGAAUAUUGGUCAAUGGGCUUUAGCCUGAACCAGCCAAGUAGCGUGAAGGAUGAAGGCUUAUGGGUCGUAAACUUCUUUUAUAUAAGAAUAUGUAUUAUAUGAAUAAGGAUCGGCUAACUCCGUGCCAGCCGCCGCGGUAAUUC